AGCAGUCGCCGGGUAAUACGAAGGGUGCAAGCGUUAAUCGGAAUUACUGGGCGUAAAGGGUGCGUAGGUGGUUAUGUAAGUGAGAUGUGAAAUCCCCGGGCUCAACCUGGGAACUGCAUCUUAUACUGCGUAGCUGGAGUGCAGUAGAGGGUAGUGGAAUUUCCGGUGUAGCGGUGAAAUGCGUAGAUAUCGGAAGGAACACCAGUGGCGAAGGCGGCUACCUGGACUGACACUGACACUGAGGCGCGAAAGCGUGGGGAGCAAACAGGAUUAGAUACCCCCGUUAGUCCCUGUCUCUUAUAA
rnacentral:rRNA from 1 species